GCGUGGAGGAUGAAGGCCUUCGGGUUGUAAACUCCUGGUCAGGGGGAACGACGGGACCAGGCAGACAAUGCCUGGCCGCCAGACGGUACCUCCAAAGGAAGCCCCGGCUAAUUCCGUGCCAGCAGCCGCGGUAAUACGGAAGGGGCAAGCGUUGUUCGGAAUCAUUGGGCGUAAAGGGCGCGUAGGUGGUUCUGUAUGUCUACCGUGAAAGGGUACAGCUCAACUGUAGCACGUCGGUAGAAACUGCAGGACUUGAGGCUGGGAGGGGCUGGUGGAAUUCCCUGUGUAGCGGUGAAAUGCGUAGAGAUGGGGGAGAACACUCGUGGCGAAGGCGGCCAGCUAGACCAGUUCUGACACUGAGGCGCGACAGCGUGGGGAGCAAACAGGAUUAGAUACCCUGGUAGUCCACGCUGUAAACGAUGGGCACUAGGUGCCGGCGGUCUUGAUCCCGUCGGUGCCGGCGCUAACGCAGUAAGUGCCCCGCCUGGGGAGUACGGUCGCAAGGCUG
rnacentral:rRNA from 1 species